rnacentral:rRNA from 1 species
GUGGGGAAUAUUGGACAAUGGGCGCAAGCCUGAUCCAGCAAUGCCGCGUGAGUGAUGAAGGCCUUAGGGUUGUAAAGCUCUUUUACCCGGGAAGAUAAUGACUGUACCGGGAGAAUAAGCCCCGGCUAACUCCGUGCCAGCAGCCGCGGUAAUACGGAGGGGGCUAGCGUUGUUCGGAAUUACUGGGCGUAAAGCGCACGUAGGCGGCUUUGUAAGUCAGGGGUGAAAGCCUGGAGCUCAACUCCAGAACUGCCUUUGAGACUGCAUCGCUUGAAUCAUGGAGAGGUCAGUGGAAUUCCGAGUGUAGAGGUGAAAUUCGUAGAUAUUCGGAAGAACACCAGUGGCGAAGGCGGCUGACUGGACAUGUAUUGACACUGAGGUGCGAAAGCGUGGGGAGCAAACAGG